rnacentral:rRNA from 1 species
GACGAACGCUGGCGGCGUGCUUAACACAUGCAAGUCGAACGAUGAAGCCUUCGGGUGGAUUAGUGGCGAACGGGUGAGUAACACGUGGGCAAUCUGCCCUUGACUCUGGGAUAACUUCGGGAAACCGGAGCUAAUACCGGAUAUGACAUCUGGCCGCAUGGUCUGGGUGUGGAAAGAUUUAUCGGUCAGGGAUGAGCUCGCGGCCUAUCAGCUUGUUGGUGGGGUAANGGCCCACCAAGGCGACGACGGGUAGCCGGCCUGAGAGGGCGACCGGCCACACUGGGACUGAGACACGGCCCAGACUCCUACGGGAGGCAGCAGUGGGGAAUAUUGCGCAAUGGGCGAAAGCCUGACGCAGCGACGCCGCGUGAGGGAUGAAGGCCUCGGUCGUAACUCUUCUAGCAGGGAAGAAGACGAAAGUAGACGGUACCGU